AAGACCUAUACCUCACUCGGCAGAGUCUCACCUAUGCUGUUCGCAGCAACGCAUCGGCCGCAGGCACAGAGCGCCAUGGCCAGAGCCCACCAGGGCAGCCGCCUCGCACCACAACCAAGGGCCUCACAGCGCGCAAUCAAAGAUGGAAAAGCAGAAGCUCAGAAAAUGGAGGCUAAGUAACUUGUUCAAGAUCACAGAGCAAGCAGAUGCCACAGCUGGAAUCUGAACCCAGCCUGCAAUGUGAACACGAUGGCUGGAGCUCCGGCAGCCAUUCUGGACCAGGAGGUAGCCUUGAAGAUGGAAGCCACAUGUUGGGAUGGUGAAUCCAAAAGAUGAGGAGCCUGUAUCCCCUGUGACACCAGAACUGCCAUACCAGCCCUGGGUUCCUCCAUCUAUACUGCCUUCAUAUGGUAAAGAAAUAUUCUUGGAUCUUGUUAGGUGUCUGUUGCAGCCAAACACAAUCCCAACUGAUAUUCACUGUAAAUGAUUCCAUGGCUCCCUGUAGUACUUCUACAAAGCAUCUAUCACAAUUGUAAUUAAUAAAAUAAUUAUGCAAUUA
rnacentral:lncRNA from 1 species